rnacentral:rRNA from 1 species
AUUGAACGCUAGCGGCAUGCCUUACACAUGCAAGUCGAACGGAGUGGCGAACGGGCGAGUAAUGUACCGGAACGUGCCCAGUAGCGGGGGAUAACUACGCGAUAGCGUAGCUAAUCCCGCAUACUAUUGCAUCCGCCGUUAUCGUAUUAGCUAGUUGGUGGGGUAACGGCUCACCAAGGCGACGACCCGUAGCCGGUUUGAGAGGCCGACCAGCCACACUGGGACUGAGACACGGCCCAGACUCCUGCGGGAGGCAGCAGGGGGGAAUCUGGGACAAUGGGGGAAAGCCUGAUCCAGCCAUCCCGCGUGUGCGAUGAGGGCCUUCGGGUUGUAAAGCCCUUUUGGCAGGAAAGCGGUACCUGCAGAAUAAGCACCGGCUAACUACGUGCCAGCAGCCGCGGUAAUUC